GUUUGUUCUUCAAAAUUCCGCCAAAGGGCAGUGUCUGGCCUGAAUAAGAACUGCUUGAUUGUGAAGACGUGCCUAUACUCUAAGAUCGAUUAUGAAUAAUAAGAAUUCUUGAACCUUAAGAAAUCUGACAUACCAAUAAUUGGCAUUUCUGACGCGAAAUUUUCAAUUGGCAUUUAUCCGUUUCAGAUCCGUUCAUCAUCCGUUUUAUCCGUUAUACGUCCGGUAGAAGUCCGUUUCUCAUCCG
rnacentral:lncRNA from 1 species